AACGUAGGAGACAAACGUUAUCCGGAGUUACUGGGCGUAAAGGGCGUGUAGGUGGUUUCGUAAGUCUGGCGUGAAAUAUCUCGGCUUAACCGAGGCAGGUCGUCGGAUACUGCGGAACUAGAGGACGGUAGAGGCGUGUGGAAUUCCGGGUGUAGUGGUGAAAUGCGUAGAUAUCGGAAGGAACAUCAGUGGCGAAAGCGACUUCCUGGACCAAUACUGACGCUCAUGUGCGAAAGCGUGGGGAGCAAACAGG
rnacentral:rRNA from 1 species